GAUGAACGCUGGCGGCGUGCCUAAUACAUGCAAGUCGAGCGAACAGACGAGGAGUUUGCUCCUCUGACGUUAGCGGCGGACGGGUGAGUAACACGUGGAUAACCUACCUAUAAGACUGGGAUAACUUCGGGAAACCGGAGCUAAUACCGGAUAAUAUAUUGAACCGCAUGGUUCAUUAGUGAAAGACGGUUUUGCUGUCACUUAUAGAUGGUUCCUCGCCGCAUUAGCUAGUUGGUAAGGUAACGGCUUACCAAGGCAACGAUGCGUAGCCGACCUGAGAGGGUGAUCGGCCACACUGGAACUGAGACACGGUCCAGACUCCUACGGGAGGCAGCAGUAGGGAAUCUUCCGCAAUGGGCGAAAGCCUGACGGAGCAACGCCGCGUGAGUGAUGAAGGUCUUCGGAUCGUAAAACUCUGUUAUUAGGGAAGAACAAAUGUGUAAGUAACUAUGCACGUCUUGACGGUACCUAAUCAGAAAGCCACGGCUAACUACGUG
rnacentral:rRNA from 1 species